GUGUCAGCCGCCGCGGUAAUACGGAGGGUGCAAACGUUGCUCGGAAUCAUUGGGCGUAAAGCGCACGUAGGCGGCGGCAUAAGCGGGAUGUGAAAGCCCAGGGCUCAACCCUGGAAGUGCAUCCCGAACUGUGUCGCUUGAAUCUCGGAGGGGGACAGAGAAUUCCCGGUGUAGAGGUGAAAUUCGUAGAUAUCGGGAGGAAUACCAGUGGCGAAGGCGCUGUCCUGGACGAAGAUUGACGCUGAGGUGCGAAAGCGCGGGGAGCAAACAGGAUUAGAUACCCUGGUAGUCCGCGCUGUAAACGAUGAGUGCUGGACGGUGGAGGAUUUGACCCCUUCGCUGUCGAAGCUAACGCGUUAAGCACUCCGCCUGGGGAGUACGGUCGCAAGACUAAA
rnacentral:rRNA from 1 species